rnacentral:rRNA from 1 species
GGGAGGCAGCAGUGGGGAAUAUUGCACAAUGGGCGAAAGCCUGAUGCAGCCAUGCCGCGUGUAUGAAGAAGGCCUUCGGGGUUGUAAAGUACUUUCAGUUGUGAGGAAGGGGGUGUCGUUAAUAGCGGCAUCUCUUGACGUUAGCAACAGAAGAAGCACCGGCUAACUCCGUGCCAGCAGCCGCGGUAAUACGGAGGGUGCGAGCGUUAAUCGGAAUUACUGGGCGUAAAGCGCAUGCAGGUGGUUCAUUAAGUCAGAUGUGAAAGCCCGGGGCUCAACCUCGGAACUGCAUUUGAAACUGGUGAACUAGAGUACUGUAGAGGGGGGUAGAAUUUCAGGUGUAGCGGUGAAAUGCGUAGAGAUCUGAAGGAAUACCAGUGGCGAAGGCGGCCCCCUGGACAGAUACUGACACUCAGAUGCGAAAGCGUGGGGAGCAAACAGGAUUAGAUACCCUGGUAGUCCACGCCGUAAACGAUGUCUACUUGGAGGUUGUGGAAAUGAGCCGUGGCUUUCGGAGCUAACGCGUUAAGUAGACCGCCUGGGGAGUACGGUCGCAAGAUUAAAACUCAAAUGAAUUGACGGGGGCCCGCACAAGCGGUGGAGCAUGUGGUUUAAUUCGAUGCAACGCGAAGAACCUUACCUACUCUUGACAUCCAGAGAAGCCAGC